AGCGAACGCUGGCGGCAUGCCUAACACAUGCAAGUCGCACGGGGGGGCUUCGGCCUCCCAGUGGCGGACGGGUGAGGAACGCGUAGGGACCUGUCGAGGGGUGGGGGAUAACCGCGGGAAACUGCGGCUAAUACCGCAUGACGCCGCGGCCUGACAGCCGGGGCCAAAGGCGAAAGCCGCCCGCCGAGGGGGCUGCGUGCGAUUAGCUGGUUGGCGGGGUAGCGGCCCACCAAGGCGUGGAUCGGUAGAUGGUCUGAGAGGGUGCUCAGCCACACCGGGACGGAGAAGCGGCCGGGACUCCUACGGGAGGGGGCAGUGGGGAAUAUUGGACAAUGGGGGCAGGGAUGAAGCAGCAAUGCCGGGUGAGUGAAGAAGGUCUGCGAAUAGUAAAGCCGUUUCGGCGGGGACGAUGGUGACGGUACCCGCAGAAGAAGCCCCGGCUAACUUCGUG
rnacentral:rRNA from 1 species